GACGGAGGAUGCAAGCGUUAUCCGGAAUGAUUGGGCGUAAAGCGUCCGCAGGUGGCAGUUUCAAGUCUGCUGUCAAAGACCGGGGCUUAACUUCGGAAAGGCAGUGGAAACUGAACAGCUAGAGUAUGGUAGGGGCAGAGGGAAUUCCUGGUGUAGCGGUGAAAUGCGUAGAGAUCAGGAAGAACAUCGGUGGCGAAGGCGCUCUGCUGGACCAUAACUGACACUCAGGGACGAAAAGCUAGGGGGAGCGAAAUGGG
rnacentral:rRNA from 1 species